rnacentral:lncRNA from 1 species
AACGCAGCCAUGGGAAGGACCCUCAUUCAAAGCAAAGAGCAGCAAGAGCACUGGGGUGGGUCUGAGCAGGGCAUGUUUGGGAGACAGAAGACCAAUGUGGCAAGAGCAGUGAGACGGUGGCCAGGCAGUUUCAAUUGGACUGGGAGAGAUAAAAGAGGAAGCAGGAAACGAAUGCAGAGGGCCAUAGCAGGGGUGCAGGCAAGAGAAGAGGGUGGCUGUGGUGGUGCAGAGAAGCGGGCAGUCAUGAUUUACUUCUGAUGAAGAGCCAGCAGGACCUGAGGACAGACCAGCUGCAAGCCGUGGGAAGGAAGAAGCAGCACUGUAACAUGUCCAUAAUGGCCCCAACGCCCAAGCUGGAAGGUUGUGGGUUUACAGGAAUGAGGGCAAGCAACACCUGGCCCGCCCAGGGCGGAAAACCGCUUAAAGGAAUUCUUAAGACACAAACAAAAGCAUGAGCGAUCUGUGUCUUAAGGGCAUGUUCCUGCUGCAAUUAAUUCAGCCCAUCCCUUCCUUUCCCAUAGGGGACUUUUAGUUAAUUUAAUAUCUAUAGAAAC